UACGGAGGGUGCAAGCGUUGCUCGGAAUCACUGGGCGUAAAGGGCGUGUAGGCGGUUUCGUAUGUCUGGCGUGAAAGCCCCGGGCUCAACCCGGGAAGUGCGUUGGAAACUGCGAAACUAGAGUCUCGGAGAGGAAGGUGGAAUUCCAGGUGUAGCGGUGAAAUGCGUAGAUAUCUGGAAGAACACCGGUGGCGAAGGCGGGUCUCUGGGCCGAUACUGACGCUGAGGAGCGAAAGCGUGGGGAGCGAACAGG
rnacentral:rRNA from 1 species